ensembl:snRNA LOC120098054 U6 spliceosomal RNA
GUGCUCCCUUCUGCAGCACAUACAUUAAAACCGAAACAAUCCAGAGGCAAUGAGCAAGCACAACCCAUGUGCAAGGAUGACACCCGAAUUCAUGAUGAGUGCCAUAUUUUA